GAUGAACGCUGGCGGCGUGCUUAACACAUGCAAGUCGAACGAUGAAGCCCAGCUUGCUGGGUGGAUUAGUGGCGAACGGGUGAGUAACACGUGAGUAACCUGCCCUUAACUCUGGGAUAAGCCUGGGAAACUGGGUCUAAUACCGGAUAGGAGCGCCUACCGCAUGGUGGGUGUUGGAAAGAUUUAUCGGUUUUGGAUGGACUCGCGGCCUAUCAGCUUGUUGGUGAGGUAAUGGCUCACCAAGGCGACGACGGGUAGCCGGCCUGAGAGGGUGACCGGCCACACUGGGACUGAGACACGGCCCAGACUCCUACGGGAGGCAGCAGUGGGGAAUAUUGCACAAUGGGCGAAAGCCUGAUGCAGCGACGCCGCGUGGGGGAUGACGGCCUUCGGGUUGUAAACCUCUUUCAGUAGGGAAGAAGCGAAAGUGACGUUACCUGCAGAAGAAGCACCGGCUAACUACGUG
rnacentral:rRNA from 1 species